GAUGAACGCUGGCGGCGUGCCUAAUACAUGCAAGUCGAGCGAACAGACGAGGAGCUUGCUCCUCUGACGUUAGCGGCGGACGGGUGAGUAACACGUGGAUAACCUACCUAUAAGACUGGGAUAACUUCGGGAAACCGGAGCUAAUACCGGAUAAUAUAUUGAACCGCAUGGUUCAAUAGUGAAAGACGGUUUUGCUGUCACUUAUAGAUGGAUCCGCGCCGCAUUAGCUAGUUGGUAAGGUAACGGCUUACCAAGGCAACGAUGCGUAGCCGACCUGAGAGGGUGAUCGGCCACACUGGAACGGAGACACGGUCCAGACUCCUACGGGAGGCAGCAGUAGGGAAUCUUCCACAAUGGGCGAAAGCCUGAAGGAGCAACACCGCGUGAGUGAUGAAGGUCUUCGGAUCGUAAAACCCUGUUAUUAGGGAAGAAAAAAUGUGUAAGUAACUAUGCACGUCUUGACGGUACCUAAACAAAAAGCCACGGCUAACUACGUG
rnacentral:rRNA from 1 species